UCAUGGAGCGCAGGGCCAUCACGCCCCCCGUGGGCUCCCCCGUGGGCCGCCCCCUGUACCUGCCCGCGGGGGACAAGGCCGUGCUGGCCCUGGACAAGAUCGCCAAGAGGGAGUGCAAGGUGCUCGUGGUGCCACCCGUGCAGUGACAGCGGGGACAGGGAGGGGACAGUGAGGGGACAUCAACAGGACAGUGACAAGACAACAGGGGACAGCGUGGGGACCCCACCGGGACAGUGGGGCCAGCACUGGAACCUUGGGGACAUCUUGGGGACACUGCUGGGGUGGCACAGACAGCGCUGGGACUCUGGGGACAGCUUGGGGACAUCGUGGGGGACAGCUUGGGGACAACGUUGGGACCUUGGGGACAUUGCCAGAGUGGCAGCAAUGGCUCUGGGACAGUGGGGACAGGGGGACAAUGGGGACAAGGCCACCCCCGGUGUCCCCAGAGCCUCAGGGCCACUUCCAGGACCUUGGGGACAAUGGGGACAGGGACAAUGGGGACAGGGCCACCCCCGGUGUCCCCACUGUGCCAGGGACAGGGACCAAGGGGACAGAGCCACCCCCAGAGCCUUGGGGACACUUUGGGGACAUUGGGGACAAUGGGGGGGGGGUCACUGCCACUGCCACGUGCCAUGGAGGGGACCUUGGGGACACCUUGAGGACACAGCCUGGAGCCGUGCCCGCGUUUGGGAUUUUGGGGACAUUUGGGGACAUCGGGGAAGUGUCCCCGAGCCAAAGUGGGGGAGGGGACGGGAGGGGCCUGCAGUGCCACCCCUGGGUUGGGGACAUUGGGGACAAGGGUGGCACCUCUGUCCCUGUUAUUUAUUGCCAAUAAAGAGACCUGGAUGUCACCUGGUGUCACCUGGAUGUCCCUGGUGUGUCCUGGAUGUCACCUGGAUGUCCCCUGAUGCCACCCGGGUGUCCCCAAGGAGGUCACAAAGCCACCAAAGCCACCCUGGGACGCCAUUUAUUGUCCCCUCGGGGGGGAUUUGGGGACACUUUGGGGACAGCAGGAGGGGGGACAGGGCGGCGCUGCCACCUCCUCCUCCUCUGGGGACGCUUUGGGGACACUUUGGGGACACUCUGGGGACAUUUCUCACACGGCCACCGGCUCCUGCACGUGGUGGUGGCGCUUGACCACGAAGAGUUUCUGUCCCGAGACGGUGACGAGGAGGGAGUGCUCGCCAAACACCACUGGGG
rnacentral:lncRNA from 1 species